GAUCCAGUGUGGUGUAGUGGUUUGAUGUUGGACUAUGACUCUAGAGAUCAGAGUUUGAUUCUCUACUCAAUCA